rnacentral:rRNA from 1 species
AGAAUCAACGCUGGCGGCGUGCCUAACACAUGCAAGUCGAACGAGAAAGGGGAGCAAUCCCUGAGUAAAGUGGCGCACGGGUGAGUAACACGUGACUAACCUACCCUGGAGUGGGGGAUAACUGAGGGAAACCUUAGCUAAUACCGCAUAAUACCUAUGGGUCAAAGGAGCAAUUCGCUUUGGGAGGGGGUCGCGGCCGAUUAGUUAGUUGGCGGGGUAAUGGCCCACCAAGACAGUGAUCGGUAUCCGGCCUGAGAGGGCGCACGGACACACUGGAACUGAAACACGGUCCAGACUCCUACGGGAGGCAGCAGUGGGAAUUUUGCGCAAUGGGGGAAACCCUGACGCAGCAACGCCGCGUGGAGGAUGAAGUACUUCGGUACGUAAACUCCUUUCGAUCGGGACGAUAAUGACGGUACCGGAAGAAGAAGCCCCGGCUAACUUCGUGCCAGCAGCCGC